rnacentral:rRNA from 1 species
UGGGGAACAUGACCUUCGGCGGGGGAUAGCCGGCCCAACGGCCGGGUAAUACCGCGUACGACCACAUGGGGACAUCCCUGAGUGGUGAAAGCAGCAAUGCGCCGAUGGAGUGCCUCGCGGCCUAUCAGCUAGUUGGUGAGGUAACGGCUCACCAAGGCGACGACGGGUAGCCGGCCUGAGAGGGCGACCGGCCACACUGGGACUGAGACACGGCCCAGACUCCUACGGGAGGCAGCAGG